CCAGCAGCUGCGGUAAUUCCAGCUCUAAUAGCGUAUAUUAAAGUUGUUGCAGUUAAAAAGCUCGUAGUCGGAUGUCGGGCUCGGGGAGGCUGUCGGCCUUUGGUCGGAUGGCAUGUCCGGGCCUUUCUGCCUGGGGAUCCUACUCUACUUAACUGUAGGGUAGUGGGACGCAGGCCGUUUACUUUGAAAAAAUUAGAGUGUUCAAAGCAGGCCUACGCUUGAAUACAUUAGCAUGGAAUAAUGGAAUAGGACUUUGGUCUUAUUUGUUGGUUUAUGGGACCGAAGUAAUGAUUAACAGGGACAGUUGGGGCCGUUUAUAUUUCGUUGUCAGAGGUGAAAUUCUUGGAUUUACGAAAGAUAAACUUCUGCGAAAGCAUUCGGCAAGGAUGUUUUCAUUGAUCAAGAACGAAAGU
rnacentral:rRNA from 1 species